GGAAGUGCUGAUGGCCUGUCUCUUCCUUGCCUAAGGUCCCUGGCAUGCAGAAGACACUUGAGUGGAGUAAAAGAGGCUGACCCUUCCCCUUUCCACCCCUAGCCAGGGGACCAGACAAGGGGUUAGAGUGCCCUGGAGCAGGCUCUGGUGGUGGGCAGCAGGAGGAAGAAGUUGGUAUAUUCACAUCCACAAAAGCCAGAAGGAUCUGUAUGAGGCUCAGACCCUGUCACGAAUGCCAAAGAACAGGCCAAAUAAAUAAAAAGAUCAUGGCAGUCGAGGCCGCAGGAACUGCUGUGAGUGGCUGACCUACACGUUUUGAAAAAAAGUCUUCAUGAUGCUCUGUGCAACUUGGAACAGAAAGCAGCCGAAGCUGUCAGGGAGCCGGUGUUCUCCGUCAAGGGUGAGCUGGAGCAGGCUGACCCG
rnacentral:lncRNA from 1 species